rnacentral:lncRNA from 1 species
AAUUAUCUUUAUUUCUUGGUUUUGGUUUAUAGGUCGUUUGGGAGUUAAUACUUCUUUUGUAUUUUAUGAUUGGUGUAACAAUCCGUUAGUUUGCAUUGAUAGCAUCUAAUGGUUUUCGUUUGAAUUGUAAGGGUUGAGUGCACCUUAUACUCCUUAUAAUUCAAUUUUUGCUUAUAAAAAAAAAGUUAGAAAAAUAAAAUAACUAUAAAAUUUAAAGUCAAUAUGCAUAAGUAUAUAUUUAGGUUUUGUUGACAUAUAAGUUAGCAUAAAUAAACUAUAAAGUUAACAGUAAUAUUCAAUGUUUUAAAAAUU